rnacentral:rRNA from 1 species
GAUGAACGCUGGCGGCGUGCCUAACACAUGCAAGUCGAGCGGCAGCGAGGGGUGCUUGCACCCUGUCGGCGAGCGGCGGACGGCUGAGUAACGCGUGGGAGCGUGCCCCAAAGUGAGGAAUAACUGCCCGAAAGGGUAGCUAAUACCGCAUAUUAUCUUCGGAUCAAAGGAUUUAUCCGCUUUGGGAGCGGCUCGCGUCGGAUUAGGUAGUUGGUGAGGUAAUGGCUCACCAAGCCGACGAUCCGUAGCUGGUCUGAGAGGAUGACCAGCCAGACUGGAACUGAGACACGGUCCAGACUCCUACGGGAGGCAGCAGUGAGGAAUCUUCCACAAUGGGCGAAAGCCUGAUGGAGCAACGCCGCGUGCAGGACGAAGGCCUUCGGGUUGUAAACUGCUUUUAUAAGUGAGGAAUAUGACGGUAACUUAUGAAUAAGGAUCGGCUAACUACGUG